rnacentral:rRNA from 1 species
GCAAGUCGAGCGGACAGAUGGGAGCUUGCUCCCUGAUGUUAGCGGCGGACGGGUGAGUAACACGUGGGUAACCUGCCUGUAAGACUGGGAUAACUCCGGGAAACCGGGGCUAAUACCGGAUGGUUGUCUGAACCGCAUGGUUCAGACAUAAAAGGUGGCUUCGGCUACCACUUACAGAUGGACCCGCGGCGCAUUAGCUAGUUGGUGAGGUAACGGCUCACCAAGGCGACGAUGCGUAGCCGACCUGAGAGGGUG